rnacentral:tRNA from 1 species
GGUGAGAUGCCUGAGUGGCCGAAAGGAACGGUUUGCUAAACCGUCGUACGGGUCAAACUGUACCGAGGGUUCGAAUCCCUCUCUCACCGCCG